CUACGGGAUGCACCAGGUGCGAAAACUUUACAAUGCACGAAAGUGUGAUAAGGGAAUCUCAAGUGCUUUACUCUUUGUAAAGCUUUUGUUAAGUGUAAAUAGCUUAAUAAAUAAGUGGUGGGUAAGACUGGUGCCAGCCGCCGCGGUAACACCAGCGCCACGAGUGGUAAUCACGUUUAUUGGGUCUAAAGGGUCCGUAGCUGGUUUGAUAAGUUCCUUGUAAAAUUGUUAGGCUUAACUUAGCAGCUUGCAAGGAAAACUAUCUAACUAGGAACCGGGAGAAGACAGAAGUACUUUGUGGGGAGUGGUAAAAUAUUAUAAUCCUCAAAGGACUACCUGUGGCAAAAGCAUCUGUCUAGAACGGGUUCGACAGUGAUGGACGAAAGCUAAGGGAGCGAUCCGGAUUAGAUACCCUCGUAGUC
rnacentral:rRNA from 1 species